UGGCGUGUAGCUCAGUGGUGAAAGCGGCGACCUUAUAAGUCGUGGGUCGGAGGUUCAAAUCCUCCCACGCCAA
rnacentral:tRNA from 1 species